UGGGGAAUAUUGGACAAUGGGCGCAAGCCUGAUCCAGCCAUACCGCGUGGGUGAAGAAGGCCUUCGGGUUGUAAAGCCCUUUUGUUGGGAAAGAAAUCCAGUCGGCUAAUACCUGGUUGGGAUGACGGUACCCAAAGAAUAAGCACCGGCUAACUUCGUGCCAGCAGCCGCGGUAAUACGAAGGGUGCAAGCGUUACUCGGAAUUACUGGGCGUAAAGCGUGCGUAGGUGGUUAUUUAAGUCCGUUGUGAAAGCCCUGGGCUCAACCUGGGAACUGCAGUGGAUACUGGAUGACUAGAAUGUGGUAGAGGGUAGCGGAAUUCCUGGUGUAGCAGUGAAAUGCGUAGAGAUCAGGAGGAACAUCCAUGGCGAAGGCAGCUACCUGGACCAACAUUGACACUGAGGCACGAAAGCGUGGGGAGCAAACA
rnacentral:rRNA from 1 species